rnacentral:rRNA from 1 species
CUUCCAUGCCGCGUGAGUGAUGAAGGCCUUCGGGUUGUAAAGCUCUUUUGUCAGGGAAGAAACGGCGAGGGCUAAUACCCCUUGCUACUGACGGUACCUGAAGAAUAAGCACCGGCUAACUACGUGCCAGCAGCCGCGGUAAUACGUAGGGUGCAAGCGUUAAUCGGAAUUACUGGGCGUAAAGCGUGCGCAGGCGGUUUUGAAAGUCUGAUGUGAAAUCCCCGGGCUCAACCUGGGAAUUGCAUUGGAGACUGCGGGGCUAGAAUCUGGCAAAGGGGGGUGGAAUUCCACGUGUAGCAGUGAAAUGCGUAGAUAUGUGGAGGAACACCGAUGGCGAAGGCAGCCUCCUGGGAUAAGAUUGACGCUCAUGCACGAAAGCGUGGGGAGCAAACAGGAUUAGAUACCCUGGUAGUCCACGCCCUAAACGAUGUCUACUAGUUGUUGGGUCCUACUUGACUUGGUAACGCAGCUAACGCGUGAAGUAGACCGCCUGGGGAGUUACGGUCGCAAGAUAAAACCUCAAGGAAAUUUUUGACGGGAG